AAAUUGAAGAGUUUGAUCAUGGCUCAGAUUGAACGCUGGCGGCAGGCCUAACACAUGCAAGUCGAACGGUAACAGGAAGAAGCUUGCUUCUUUGCUGACGAGUGGCGGACGGGUGAGUAAUGUCUGGGAAACUGCCUGAUGGAGGGGGAUAACUACUGGAAACGGUAGCUAAUACCGCAUAACGUCGCAAGACCAAAGAGGGGGACCUUCGGGCCUCUUGCCAUCGGAUGUGCCCAGAUGGGAUUAGCUAGUAGGUGGGGUAACGGCUCACCUAGGCGACGAUCCCUAGCUGGUCUGAGAGGAUGACCAGCCACACUGGAACUGAGACACGGUCCAGACUCCUACGGGAGGCAGCAGUGGGGAAUAUUGCACAAUGGGCGCAAGCCUGAUGCAGCCAUGCCGCGUGUAUGAAGAAGGCCUUCGGGUUGUAAAGUACUUUCAGCGGGGAGGAAGGGAGUAAAGUUAAUACCUUUGCUCAUUGACGUUACCCGCAGAAGAAGCACCGGCUAACUCCGUGCCAGCAGCCGCGGUAAUACGGAGGGUGCAAGCGUUAAUCGGAAUUACUGGGCGUAAAGCGCACGCAGGCGGUUUGUUAAGUCAGAUGUGAAAUCCCCGGGCUCAACCUGGGAACUGCAUCUGAUACUGGCAAGCUUGAGUCUCGUAGAGGGGGGUAGAAUUCC
rnacentral:rRNA from 1 species